rnacentral:rRNA from 1 species
UACGGAGGGGGCUAGCGUUGUUCGGAAUUACUGGGCGUAAAGCGCACGUAGGCGGCUUUGUAAGUUAGAGGUGAAAGCCCGGGGCUCAACUCCGGAAUUGCCUUUAAGACUGCAUCGCUCGAAUUGUGGAGAGGUAAGUGGGAAAUUCCGAGUGUAGAGGUGAAAUUCGUAGAUAUUCGGAAGAACACCAGUGGCGAAGGCGACUUACUGGGACACA